GCAGCGUCGGGCGAAGUUUGUAGCGCGGAACUUUUAUAUAAGGCAGAUAAGGCAAAAUUGUGUUCUUACCGUUCUAACUUCUAAGUUCAAGUUCAUUUUAUUUUGGUUAGAAAUGAAGGAGUCAACGGUAUUAAGUGUAGUUGCAUCAAUAGCGUUUGCCCUAGGAAUUUUCGUGGGUUAUGAGCUUAAAACUUGGAGGAUUGAAUGGUUGAAAAGACGUCGAGAAAGGCUUGCCAAGAAGCUUGCGGCAACUCAGCAGCAAAUAGAUAAUUUGUCAGAGCGAGAGCGCUACUAGCAUGUGGUAAAAACAUUGCAAUUCAUGGCUGUAAGAGGAGUAGGAGGACUACUAACUGAAGCUGUUUCAUCAUCAUCUGGUGGGUGGAUUUUAUACAAGAAAUGGUGGUACGGGGCACCUGCUUCACCAGACCAGUGUAUGAUGGUGGUGAAAUGCCAGCAACUGCAGACCUGCCCAAAUGGAGCUCUAUUGCACCAACAUGGCAGUGAUAUGACAAAGUUUUAGCAUAGAUACAAGGGUAGAUAACAUCUGCUCAACUUCAACUUGUGACAGGACAGCUGUGACUUGUGAGUGGUCAGACAUCCAUCAUCAAGAGCAUGGAGUCAUCAUUGCUGAAACUGGACCUUAAUUGUGUUGUUGCCCAUCACAACAGUUGCUGUUUUUUAUAAUUAUAAUUGGCUUCAUCACUUGUAAUAAAAUGGUCAUUAAUUCUGUUUCUAAUUGCCCAGUGUGGAAAGAUACCUUUCUGACUUGUGCUCAGAGCUCAGACAGCAUUGUUGUGCAAUAUAUGCUUUUUUUUUGUCUCACACUCAGUGACUUAUUGACUACUGGUUAGUGAAAAUGUAAGUGCAUUGCUGUUGUAAGAAUAACUACGUUUCUGGCACUGCCUUAUUGCUGGAUGCUUGUGAAUAGAUAAGGAAAACUUCGGUUGUUU